GACGAACGCUGGCGGCGUGCUUAACACAUGCAAGUCGAACGGAAAGGCCCUGCUUUUGUGGGGUGCUCGAGUGGCGAACGGGUGAGUAACACGUGAGUAACCUGCCCUUGACUUUGGGAUAACUUCAGGAAACUGGGGCUAAUACCGGAUAGGAGCUCCUGCUGCAUGGUGGGGGUUGGAAAGUUUCGGCGGUUGGGGAUGGACUCGCGGCUUAUCAGCUUGUUGGUGGGGUAGUGGCUUACCAAGGCUUUGACGGGUAGCCGGCCUGAGAGGGUGACCGGCAACAUUGGGACUGAGAUACGGCCCAGACUCCUACGGGAGGCAGAAGUGGGGAAUAUUGCACAAUGGGCGGAAGCCUGAUGCAGCAACGCCGAGUGCGGGAUGACGGCCUUCGGGUUGUAAACCGCUUUCGCCUGUGACGAAGCGUGAGUGACGGUAAUGGGUAAAGAAGCACCGGCUAACUACGU
rnacentral:rRNA from 1 species